GACGAACGCUGGCGGCGUGCUUAACACAUGCAAGUCGAACGGUGAAGGGACCGGUUUUUGCUGGUUCUGGAUGAGUGGCGAACGGGUGAGUAACACGUGAGUAACCUGCCCCCUUCUUCUGGAUAACCGCAUGAAAGUGUGGCUAAUACGGGAUAUUCUGCGCCUGCUGCAUGGUGGGUGUGGGAAAGAUAUUGUUUCGGUGGGGGAUGGGCUCGCGGCCUAUCAGCUUGUUGGUGGGGUGAUGGCCUACCAAGGCGGUGACGGGUAGCCGGCCUGAGAGGGUGGACGGUCACACUGGGACUGAGACACGGCCCAGACUCCUACGGGAGGCAGCAGUGGGGAAUAUUGCACAAUGGGCGCAAGCCUGAUGCAGCGACGCCGCGUGAGGGAUGGAGGCCUUCGGGUUGUAAACCUCUUUCGCCAGUGAAGCAGGCCCGCCUCUUUUGUGGGUGGGUUGACGGUAGCUGGAUAAAAGCGC
rnacentral:rRNA from 1 species